UACAGAGGUCCCAAGCGUUGUUCGGAUUCAUUGGGCGUAAAGGGUGCGUAGGUGGCGCUGUAAGUCAGACGUGAAAUCCCUCGGCUUAACCGGGGAACUGCGUCUGAUACUGGAUGGCUUGAGUUCGGGAGAGGGAUGCGGAAUUCCAGGUGUAGCGGUGAAAUGCGUAGAUAUCUGGAGGAACACCGGUGGCGAAGGCGGCAUCCUGGACCGACACUGACGCUGAGGCACGAAAGCGUGGGGAGCAAACAGG
rnacentral:rRNA from 1 species